GUUGCCAUCAUUGGUUGGGCACUCUAGUGAGACUGCCGGUGACAAACCGGAGGAAGUGGGAUGACGUCAAGUCCUCAUGGCCCUUAUGGGUAGGGCUUCACACGUCAUACAAUGGUCGGUACAGAGGGUUGCCAAGCCGCGAGGUGGAGCCAAAUCCCUUAAAGCCGAUCGUAGUCCGGAUCGUAGUCUGCAACUCGACUACGUGAAGUCGGAAUCGCUAGUAAUCGCGGAUCAGCAUGUCGCGGUCGAAUACGUUCCCGGGCCUU
rnacentral:rRNA from 1 species